UGCAAGUCGAACGGAACUGUUUUGAAAGAUUUCUUCGGAAUGAAUUUGAUUUAGUUUAGUGGCGGACGGGUGAGUAACGCGUGAGUAACCUGCCUUCAAGAGGGGGAUAACAUUCUGAAAAGAAUGCUAAUACCGCAUGAUAUAUCGGAACCACAUGGUUUUGAUAUCAAAGAUUUUAUCGCUUGAAGAUGGACUCGCGUCCGAUUAGUUAGUUGGUGAGGUAACGGCUCACCAAGACCGCGAUCGGUAGCCGGACUGAGAGGUUGAACGGCCACAUUGGGACUGAGACACGGCCCAGACUCCUACGGGAGGCAGCAGUGGGGGAUAUUGCGCAAUGGGGGCAACCCUGACGCAGCAACGCCGCGUGAAGGAUGAAGGUUUUCGGAUUGUAAACUUCUUUUAUUAAGGACGAAAAUUGACGGUACUUAAUGAAUAAGCUCCGGCUAACUACGUGCCAGCAGCCGCGGUAAUACGUAGGGAGCAAGCGUUGUCCGGAUUUACUGGGUGUAAAGGGUGCGUAGGCGGCUUUGCAAGUCAGAUGUGAAAUCUAUGGGCUCAACCCAUAAACUGCAUUUG
rnacentral:rRNA from 1 species